rnacentral:sRNA from 1 species
UAGAAACCGGAACAUAAGUGGCCUCAGACAGAAAUGGCUGGGCUUUGGCCAUUUCUGUCUGAGGUCCUUAUGUGCAGGUUUCUGGGCU